rnacentral:rRNA from 2 species
AGACCCGAAACCCGGUGAUCUAGCCAUGGGCAGGUUGAAGGUUGGGUAACACUAACUGGAGGACCGAACCGACUAAUGUUGAAAAAUUAGCGGAUGACCUGUGGCUGGGGGUGAAAGGCCAAUCAAACCGGGAGAUAGCUGGUUCUCCCCGAAAGCUAUUUAGGUAGCGCCUCGUGAAUUCAUCUCCGGGGGUAGAGCACUGUUUCGGCUAGGGGGCCAUCCCGGCUUACCAACCCGAUGCAAACUGCGAAUACCGGAGAAUGUUAUCACGGGAGACACACGGCGGGUGCUAACGUCCGUCGUGAAGAGGGAAACAACCCAGACCGCCAGCUAAGGUCCCAAAGUCAUGGUUAAGUGGGAAACGAUGUGGGAAGGCCCAGACAGCCAGGAUGUUGGCUUAGAAGCAGCCAUCAUUUAAAGAAAGCGUAAUAGCUCACUGGUCGAGUCGGCCUGCGCGGAAGAUGUAACGGGGCUAAACCAUGCACCGAAGCUGCGGCAGCGAACGUAUCACUUAAAGCGAUUCAGCGGGUUACGAUUGACGGAGCGAAGCGACGUCAAAGCGUAUACAAAGUCGAGUCGGUUUAAGGAUACGUUCGUUGGGUAGGGGAGCGUUCUGUAAGCCUGUGAAGGUGUGUCGUGAGGCAUGCUGGAGGUAUCAGAAGUGCGAAUGCUGACAUAAGUAACGAUAAAGCGGGUGAAAAGCCCGCUCGCCGGAAGACCAAGGGUUCCUGUCCAACGUUAAUCGGGGCAGGGUGAGUCGACCCCUAAGGCGAGGCCGAAAGGCGUAGUCGAUGGGAAACGGGUUAAUAUUCCCGUACUUGGUGUUACUGCGAAGGGGGGACGGAGAAGGCUAUGUUGGCCGGGCGACGGUUGUCCCGGUUUAAGCGUGUAGGUGUGUGUUCCAGGUAAAUCCGGUUCACUUUAACACUGAGGCGUGAUGACGAGGCACUACGGUGCUGAAGCAACAAAUGCCCUGCUUCCAGGAAAAGCCUCUAAGCAUCAGGUAACAUCAAAUCGUACCCCAAACCGACACAGGUGGUCAGGUAGAGAAUACCAAGGCGCUUGAGAGAACUCGGGUGAAGGAACUAGGCAAAAUGGUGCCGUAACU